UACAGAGGGGCAAGCGUUGUUCGGAAUUACUGGGCGUAAAGGGCGCGUAGGCGGCCUUCUAAGUCGAACGUGAAAUCCCUGGGCUCAACCCAGGAACUGCGUCCGAUACUGGAAGGCUUGAAUCCGGGAGAGGGAUGCGGAAUUCCAGGUGUAGCGGUGAAAUGCGUAGAUAUCUGGAGGAACACCGGUGGCGAAGGCGGCAUCCUGGAC
rnacentral:rRNA from 1 species